rnacentral:rRNA from 1 species
UAGGGAAUCUUCGGCAAUGGACGAAAGUCUGACCGAGCAACGCCGCGUGAGUGAAGAAGGUUUUCGGAUCGUAAAACUCUGUUGUUAGAGAAGAACAAGGACGUUAGUAACUGAACGUCCCCUGACGGUAUCUAACCAGAAAGCCACGGCUAACUACGUGCCAGCAGCCGCGGUAAUACGUAGGUGGCAAGCGUUGUCCGGAUUUAUUGGGCGUAAAGCGAGCGCAGGCGGUUUCUUAAGUCUGAUGUGAAAGCCCCCGGCUCAACCGGGGAGGGUCAUUGGAAACUGGGAGACUUGAGUGCAGAAGAGGAGAGGGGAAUUCCAUGUGGAGCGGUGAAAUGCGUAGAUAUAUGGAGGAACACCAGUGGCGAAGGCGGCUCUCUGGUCUGUAACUGACGCUGAGGCUCGAAAGCGUGGGGAGCAAACAGG